rnacentral:rRNA from 1 species
UACGUAGGGGGCUAGCGUUGUCCGGAUUUAUUGGGCGUAAAGAGCGUGUAGGCGGCCAAGUAGGUCCGGUGUGAAAACUGGAGGCUCAACCUUCAGAGGUCGACCGAAACCAUCUGGCUAGAGUCCGGGAGAGGAGAGUGGAAUUCCUGGUGUAGCGGUGAAAUGCGCAGAUAUCAGGAAGAACACCCGUGGCGAAAGCGGCUCUCUGGAACGGUACUGACGCUGAGACGCGAAAGCGUGGGGAGCGAACAGG